UACGGAGGAUGCGAGCGUUAUCCGGAUUUAUUGGGUUUAAAGGGUGCGCAGGCGGUCUGUUAAGUCAGCGGUCAAAGCCCGGGGCUCAACCCCGGCCCGCCGUUGAAACUGACGCCCUUGAGUGAGUGAGAAGUAAGCGGAAUGCGUGGUGUAGCGGUGAAAUGCAUAGAUAUCACGCAGAACGCCGAUUGCGAAGGCAGCUUACCGGCGCUCAACUGACGCUCAGGCACGAAAGCGUGGGUAUCGAACAGG
rnacentral:rRNA from 1 species